rnacentral:tRNA from 1 species
CCGGGGCCCGGUCCGCCGGGAACGGUUCGGCCGGUUCCGGUUCGGCCGGUUCCGGUGCGGCCGGUUCCGGUUCGGGCAGCUCCGGU